CACGUAGGGUGCGAGCGUUGUCCGGAAUUAUUGGGCGUAAAGAGCUCGUAGGCGGUGUGUCGCGUCGGCCGUGAAAACCUGCAGCUUAACUGUGGGCUUGCGGUCGAUACGGGCAUCACUGGAGUUCGGCAGGGGAGACUGGAAUUCCUGGUGUAGCGGUGAAAUGCGCAGAUAUCAGGAGGAACACCGGUGGCGAAGGCGGAUCUCUGGGCCGUUACUGACGCUGAGGAGCGAAAGCGUGGGGAGCGAACAGG
rnacentral:rRNA from 1 species